CAGCCGCCGCGGGAAUACAGAGGGUGCGAGCGUUAAUCGGAUUUACUGGGCGUAAAGCGUGCGUAGGCGGCUUUUUAAGUCGGAUGUGAAAUCCCUGAGCUUAACUUAGGAAUUGCAUUCGAUACUGGGAAGCUAGAGUAUGGGAGAGGAUUGUAGAAUUCCAGGUGUAGCGGUGAAAUGCGUAGAGAUCUGGAGGAAUACCGAUGGCGAAGGCAGCCAUCUGGCCUAAUACUGACGCUGAGGUACGAAAGCAUGGGGAGCAAACAGGAUUAGAUACCCGCGUAGUCCCUGUCUCUUAUAA
rnacentral:rRNA from 1 species